rnacentral:rRNA from 1 species
UAGGGAAUCUUCCGCAAUGGACGAAAGUCUGACGGAGCAACGCCGCGUGAGUGAAGAAGGAUUUCGGUUCGUAAAACUCUGUUGUUAGGGAAGAAAAAAUGUAUAGUAACUAUAUACAAAAGAGACGGUACCUAACCAGAAAGCCACGGCUAACUACGUGCCAGCAGCCGCGGUAAUACGUAGGUGGCAAGCGUUGUCCGGAAUUAUUGGGCGUAAAGCGCGCGCAGGUGGUUUAGAAAGUCUGAUGUGAAAGCCCACGGCUCAACCGUGGAGGGUCAUUGGAAACUAAUAAACUUGAGUGCAGGAGAGAAAAGUGGAAUUCCUAGUGUAGCGGUGAAAUGCGUAGAGAUUAGGAGGAACACCGGUGGCGAAAGCGGCUUUUUGGCCUGCAACUGACACUGAGGCGCGGAAGCGUGGGGAGCAAACAGG